GUGCUCGCUUUGGCAGCACAUAUACUAAAAUUGGAAUGAUACAGAGAAGAUUAGCAUGGCCUCUGAGCAAGGAUGACACACAAAUUCAUAAAGUGUUCCAUAUAUUU
ensembl:snRNA U6 U6 spliceosomal RNA